rnacentral:rRNA from 1 species
CCUACGGGUGGCAGCAGUGGGGAAUAUUGCACAAUGGGGGAAACCCUGAUGCAGCGACGCCGCGUGAGUGCAGAAGUAUUUCGGUACGUAAAGCUCUAUCAGCAGGGAAGAAAAUGACGGUACCUGGCCAAGAAGCCCCGGCUAACUACGUGCCAGCAGCCGCGGUAAUACGUAGGGGGCAAGCGUUAUCCGGAUUUACUGGGUGUAAAGGGGGCGCAGACGGCAAUGCAAGCCAGGAGUGAAAGCCCGGGGCCCAACCCCGGGACUGCUCUUGGAACUGCAUGGCUGGAGUACAGGAGGGGCAGGCGGAAUUCCUAGUGUAGCGGUGAAAUGCGUAGAUAUUAGGAGGAACACCGGUGGCGAAGGCGGCCUGCUGGACUGUGACUGACGUUGAGGCCCGAAGGCGUGGGGAGCAAACAGGAUUAGAUACCCUUGUAGUC